rnacentral:rRNA from 1 species
GUAAGCUACUAAGAGCGAAUGGUGGAUGCCUUGACUGGUAAAGGCGAUGAAGGACGUACUAGACUGCGAUAAGCUACGGGGAGCUGUCAAGAAGCUUUGAUCCGUAGAUUUCCGAAUGGGGCAACCCAAUGUAUAGAGAUAUACAUUACCUAUAUAGGAGCGAACGAGGGGAAUUGAAACAUCUUAGUACCCUCAGGAAAAGAAAUCAAUAGAGAUUGCGUCAGUAGCGGCGAGCGAAAGCGCAAGAGGGCAAACCCAGUGCUUGCACUGGGGGUUGUAGGACUGCAAUGUGCAAGAGGUGAGUUUAGCAGAACAUUCUGGAAAGUAUAGCCAUAGAGGGUGAUAGUCCCGUAUGCGAAAAACAAACCUUAGCUAGCAGUAUCCUGAGUAGGGCGGGACACGAGAAAUCCUGUCUGAAGCUGGGUCGACCACGAUCCAACCCUAAAUACUAAUACCAGAUCGAUAGUGCACAAGUACCGUGAGGGAAAGGUGAAAAGAACUGAGGUGAUCAGAGUGAAAUAGAACCUGAAACCAUUUGCUUACAAUCAUUCAGAGCCCUAUGUAGCAAUACAGGGUGAUGGACUGCCUUUUGCAUAAUGAGCCUGCGAGUUGUGGUGUCUGGCAAGGUUAAGCAAACGCGAAGCCGUAGCGAAAGCGAGUCUGAAUAGGGCGCUUAGUCAGAUGCUGCAGACCCGAAACGAAGUGAUCUAUCCAUGAGCAAGUUGAAGCUAGUGUAAGAACUAGUGGAGGACUGAACCCAUAGGCGUUGAAAAGCCCCGGGAUGACUUGUGGAUAGGGGUGAAAGGCCAAUCAAACUUCGUGAUAGCUGGUUCUCUCCGAAAUAUAUUUAGGUAUAGCGUUGUGUCGUAAUAUAAGGGGGUAGAGCACUGAAUGGGCUAGGGCAUACACCAAUGUACCAAACCCUAUCAAACUCCGAAUACCUUAUAUGUAAUCACAGCAGUCAGGCGGCGAGUGAUAAAAUCCGUCGUCAAGAGGGAAACAACCCAGACUACCAGCUAAGGUCCCUAAAUCUUACUUAAGUGGAAAACGAUGUGAAGUUACUUAAACAACCAGGAGGUUGGCUUAGAAGCAGCCAUCCUUUAAAGAAAGCGUAAUAGCUCACUGGUCUAGUGAUUUUGCGCGGAAAAUAUAACGGGGCUAAAGUAAGUACCGAAGCUGUAGACUUGCGCACAACUUAGAUUAUUUAAGUUUAGAAUAUGAGAAACUAAGUUAUAUGUUUAGUUAUAUUUUUACUGAUUUUUAUAGAGUAAAGAUAGAAAUAAAACUUAGUAAAAUCAGUAAAAAUAUUCUUAGACUAAAGUUAAGUAGUUUAAGUUGUGUGCAAGUGGUAGGAGAGCGUUCUAUUUGCGUCGAAGGUAUACCGGUAAGGAGUGCUGGAGCGAAUAGAAGUGAGCAUGCAGGCAUGAGUAGCGAUAAUUAAUGUGAGAAUCAUUAACGCCGUAAACCCAAGGUUUCCUACGCGAUGCUCGUCAUCGUAGGGUUAGUCGGGUCCUAAGUCGAGUCCGAAAGGGGUAGACGAUGGCAAAUUGGUUAAUAUUCCAAUACCAACAUUAGUGUGCGAUGGAAGGACGCUUAGGGCUAAGGGGGCUAGCGGAUGGAAGUGCUAGUCUAAGGUCGUAGGAGGUUAUACAGGCAAAUCCGUAUAACAAUACUCCGAGAACUGAAAGGCUUUUUGAAGUCUUCGGAUGGAUAGAAGAACCCCUGAUGCCGUCGAGCCAAGAAAAGUUUCUAAGUUUAGCUAAUGUUGCCCGUACCGUAAACCGACACAGGUGGGUGGGAUGAGUAUUCUAAGGCGCGUGGAAGAACUCUCUUUAAGGAACUCUGCAAAAUAGCACCGUAUCUUCGGUAUAAGGUGUGGUUCGCUUCGUAUUAGGAUUUACUCCGAAAGCGAAGAAACUUACAACAAAGAGUCCCUCCCGACUGUUUACCAAAAACACAGCACUCUGCUAACUCGUAAGAGGAUGUAUAGGGUGUGACGCCUGCCCGGUGCUCGAAGGUUAAUUGAUGGGGUUAGCAUUAGCGAAGCUCUUGAUCGAAGCCCGAGUAAACGGCGGCCGUAACUAUAACGGUCCUAAGGUAGCGAAAUUCCUUGUCGGUUAAAUACCGACCUGCAUGAAUGGCGUAACGAGAUGGGAGCUGUCUCAAAGAGGGAUCCAGUGAAAUUGUAGUGGAGGUGAAAAUUCCUCCUACCCGCGGCAAGACGGAAAGACCCCGUGGACCUUUACUACAGCUUGACACUGCUAUUUGGAUAAGAAUGUGCAGGAUAGGUGGGAGGCUUUGAGUAUAUGACGCCAGUUGUAUAUGAGCCAUUGUUGAGAUACCACUCUUUCUUAUUUGGGUAGCUAACCAGCUUGAGUUAUCCUCAAGUGGGACAAUGUCUGGUGGGUAGUUUGACUGGGGCGGUCGCCUCCCAAAUAAUAACGGAGGCUUACAAAGGUUGGCUCAGAACGGUUGGAAAUCGUUCGUAGAGUAUAAAGGUAUAAGCCAGCUUAACUGCAAGACAUACAAGUCAAGCAGAGACGAAAGUCGGUCUUAGUGAUCCGGUGGUUCUGUGUGGAAGGGCCAUCGCUCAAAGGAUAAAAGGUACCCCGGGGAUAACAGGCUGAUCUCCCCCAAGAGCUCACAUCGACGGGGAGGUUUGGCACCUCGAUGUCGGCUCAUCGCAUCCUGGGGCUGGAGCAGGUCCCAAGGGUAUGGCUGUUCGCCAUUUAAAGCGGUACGCGAGCUGGGUUCAGAACGUCGUGAGACAGUUCGGUCCCUAUCUGCCGUGGGCGUAAGAAGAUUGAAGAGAUUUGACCCUAGUACGAGAGGACCGGGUUGAACAAACCACUGGUGUAGCUGUUGUUCUGCCAAGAGCAUCGCAGCGUAG